rnacentral:rRNA from 1 species
AGGAUGUUGGCUUAGAAGCAGCCAUCAUUUAAAGAAAGCGUAAUAGCUCACUGGUCGAGUCGGCCUGCGCGGAAGAUGUAACGGGGCUAAACCAUGCACCGAAGCUGCGGCAGCGACGCUUAUGCGUUGUUGGGUAGGGGAGCGUUCUGUAAGCCUGUGAAGGUGGCCUGUGAGGGUUGCUGGAGGUAUCAGAAGUGCGAAUGCUGACAUAAGUAACGAUAAAGCGGGUGAAAAGCCCGCUCGCCGGAAGACCAAGGGUUCCUGUCCAACGUUAAUCGGGGCAGGGUGAGUCGACCCCUAAGGCGAGGCCGAAAGGCGUAGUCGAUGGGAAACAGGUUAAUAUUCCUGUACUUGGUGUUACUGCGAAGGGGGGACGGAGAAGGCUAUGUUGGCCGGGCGACGGUUGUCCCGGUUUAAGCGUGUAGGCUGGUUUUCCAGGCAAAUCCGGAAAAUCAAGGCUGAGGCGUGAUGACGAGGCACUACGGUGCUGAAGCGACAAAUGCCCUGCUUCCAGGAAAAGCCUCUAAGCAUCAGGUAACAUCAAAUCGUACCCCAAACCGACACAGGUGGUCAGGUAGAGAAUACCAAGGCGCUUGAGAGAACUCGGGUGAAGGAACUAGGCAAAAUGGUGCCGUAACUUCGGGAGAAGGCACGCUGAUAUGUAGGUGAAGCGACUUGCUCGUGGAGCUGAAAUCAGUCGAAGAUACCAGCUGGCUGCAACUGUUUAUUAAAAACACAGCACUGUGCAAACACGAAAGUGGACGUAUACGGUGUGACGCCUGCCCGGUGCCGGAAGGUUAAUUGAUGGGGUUAGCGGUAACGCGAAGCUCUUGAUCGAAGCCCCGGUAAACGGCGGCCGUAACUAUAACGGUCCUAAGGUAGCGAAAUUCCUUGUCGGGUAAGUUCCGACCUGCACGAAUGGCGUAAUGAUGGCCAGGCUGUCUCCACCCGAGACUCAGUGAAAUUGAACUCGCUGUGAAGAUGCAGUGUACCCGCGGCAAGACGGAAAGACCCCGUGAACCUUUACUAUAGCUUGACACUGAACAUUGAGCCUUGAUGUGUAGGAUAGGUGGGAGGCUUUGAAGUGUGGACGCCAGUCUGCAUGGAGCCGACCUUGAAAUACCACCCUUUAAUGUUUGAUGUUCUAACGUGGGCCCCUUACCGGGGUUGCGGACAGUGUCUGGUGGGUAGUUUGACUGGGGCGGUCUCCUCCUAAAGAGUAACGGAGGAGCACGAAGGUUGGCUAAUCCUGGUCGGACAUCAGGAGGUUAGUGCAAUGGCAUAAGCCAGCUUGACUGCGAGCGUGACGGCGCGAGCAGGUGCGAAAGCAGGUCAUAGUGAUCCGGUGGUUCUGAAUGGAAGGGCCAUCGCUCAACGGAUAAAAGGUACUCCGGGGAUAACAGGCUGAUACCGCCCAAGAGUUCAUAUCGACGGCGGUGUUUGGCACCUCGAUGUCGGCUCAUCACAUCCUGGGGCUGAAGUAGGUCCCAAGGGUAUGGCUGUUCGCCAUUUAAAGUGGUACGCGAGCUGGGUUUAGAACGUCGUGAGACAGUUCGGUCCCUAUCUGCCGUGGGCGCUGGAGAACUGAGGGGGGCUGCUCCUAGUACGAGAGGACCGGAGUGGACGCAUCACUGGUGUUCGGGUUGUCAUGCCAAUGGCACUGCCCGGUAGCUAAAUGCGGAAGAGAUAAGUGCUGAAAGCAUCUAAGCACGAAACUUGCCCCGAGAUGAGUUCUCCCUGAGACUUAGAGUCUCCUGAAGGAACGUUGAAGACGACGACGUUGAUAGGCCGGGUGUGUAAGCGCAGCGAUGCGUUGAGCUAACCGGUACUAAUGAACCGUGAGGCUUAACCUUACAACGCCGAAG